rnacentral:rRNA from 1 species
UCGGGAAUAUUGCGCAAUGGAGGAAACUCUGACGCAGUGACGCCGCGUAUAGGAAGAAGGUUUUCGGAUUGUAAACUAUUGUCGUUAGGGAAGAUAAAAGACUGUACCUAAGGAGGAAGCCCCGGCUAACUAUGUGCCAGCAGCCGCGGUAAUACAUAGGGGGCAAGCGUUAUCCGGAAUUAUUGGGUGUAAAGGGUGCGUAGACGGAAGAAUAAGUUGGUUGUGAAAUCCCUCGGCUCAACUGAGGAACUGCAACCAAAACUAUUCUCCUUGAGUGUCGGAGAGGAAAGUGGAAUUCCUAGUGUAGCGGUGAAAUGCGUAGAUAUUAGGAGGAACACCAGUGGCGAAGGCGACUUUCUGGACGAUAACUGACGUUGAGGCACGAAAGUGUGGGGAGCAAACAGGAUUAGAUACCC